rnacentral:rRNA from 1 species
GGUUCGAUUAUGGCUCCGUUGAACGCUGGCGGAUGCUUUACAUGCAAGUCGAACGGCAGCACGGACUUCGGUCUGGUGGCGAGUGGCGAACAGGGGCAGGUAAUGUAUCGGAACGUGCCUAACAGCGGGGGAUAACUACGCGGCGUAGCUAAUACCGCAUACGCCCUUCGGGGGAAAGCGGGGGACCUUCGGGCCUCGCACUAUUAGAGCGGCCGAUAUCGGAUUAGCUAGUUGGUGGGGUAACGGCUCACCAAGGCGACGAUCCGUAGCUGGUUUGAGAGGGACGACCAGCCACACUGGGACUGAGACACGGCCCAGACUCCUACGGGAGGCAGCAGUGGGAAUUUUGGACAAUGGGGAAACCUGAUCCAGCCAUCCCGCGUGUGCGAUGAAGGCCUUCGGGUUGUAAAGCACUUUUGGCAGGAAAAAGAAACGGCGGGAUAAUACCCCGUGCAACUGACGGUACCUGCAGAAUAAGCACCGGCUAACUACGUGCCAGCAGCCGCGGUAAUACGUAGGGUGCAAGCGUUAAUCGGAAUUACUGGGCGUAAAGCGUGCAGGCGGUUCGGAAAGAUGUAGCUGAAAUCCAGAGCUUAACUUUGGAACUGCAUUUUUAACUACCGAGCUAGAGUGUCGGGGAGGUGGAAUUCCCGCGUGUAGCAGUGAAAUGCGUAGAUAUGCGGAGGAACACACCGAUGGCAGGCAGCCUCCUGGGAUAACACUGACGCUCAUGCACGAAAAGCGUGGGGGAGCAAACAGGAUUAGAUACCCUGGUAGUCCACGCCUAAACGAUGUCAACUAGCUGUUGGGGCCUUCGGGCCUUGGUAGCGCAGCUAACGCGUGAAGUUGACCGCCGCAAAUUACGGUCGCAAGAUUAAAACUCAAAGGAAUUGACGGGGACCCGCACAAGCGGUGGAUGUGGAUUAAUUCGAUGCAACGCGAAAACCUUACCUACCCUUGACAUGUCUGGAAUCCCGAAGAGAUUUGGGAGUGCUCGCAAAGAGAACCGGAACACAGGUGCUGCAUGGCUGUCGUCAGCUCGUGUCGUGAGAUGUUGGGUUAAGUCCCACCCAACGAGAGCGCAACCCUUGUCAUUAGUUACUACGAAGGGCACUCUAAUGGGGUGCGGUGACAAACCGGAGGAAGGUGGGGAUGGCGUCGAAGUCCUCAUGGCCCUUAUGGGUAGGGCUUCGUCGCGCAAUGGUCGGGACAGAGGGUCGCCAACCCGCGAGGGGAGCCAAUCCCGAAACCCGAUCGUAGUCCGGAUCGCAGUCUGCAACUCGACUGCGUGAAGUCCCGGAAUCGCUAGUAAUCGCGGAUCAGCAUGUCGCGGUGAAUACGUUCAGGUCUUGUACACACCGCCCAUCACACCAUGGGAGUGGGUUUUACCAGAAGUAGUUAGCCUAACCGUAAGGAGGGCGAUUACCACGGUAGGAUUCAUGACUGGGGUGAAGUCGUACAAGGUAG